GACGAACGCUGGCGGCGUGCCUAAUACAUGCAAGUCGAGCGGACUUUAUCCUUCGGGAUAAGGUUAGCGGCGGACGGGUGAGUAACACGUAGGCAACCUGCCUGUAAGACCGGGAUAACAUUCGGAAACGAAUGCUAAUACCGGAUAUGCAACUUGGCUGCAUGGCCGAGUUGGGAAAGACGGCGCAAGCCGUCACUUACAGAUGGGCCUGCGGUGCAUUAGCUAGUUGGUGAGGUAACGGCUCACCAAGGCGACGAUGCAUAGCCGACCUGAGAGGGUGAUCGGCCACACUGGGACUGAGACACGGCCCAGACUCCUACGGGAGGCAGCAGUAGGGAAUCUUCCGCAAUGGACGAAAGUCUGACGGAGCAACGCCGCGUGAGUGAUGAAGGUUUUCGGAUCGUAAAGCUCUGUUGCCAGGGAAGAACAGCCAGGAGAGUAACUGCUCUUGGAAUGACGGUACCUGAGAAGAAAGCCCCGGCUAACUACGUGCCAGCCGCCGCGGUAAAAC
rnacentral:rRNA from 1 species